rnacentral:rRNA from 1 species
UACGUAGGGGGCAAGCGUUAUCCGGAUUUACUGGGUGUAAAGGGAGCGUAGACGGCACGGCAAGCCAGAUGUGAAAGCCCGGGGCUCAACCCCAGGAGUGCAUUUGGAACUGCUGAGCUAGAGUGUCGGAGAGGCAAGUGGAAUUCCUAGUGUAGCGGUGAAAUGCGUAGAUAUUAGGAGGAACACCAGUGGCGAAGGCGGCUUGCUGGACGAUGACUGACGUUGAGGCUCGAAAGCGUGGGGAGCAAACAGG